AGCAUUGAGGUGUACUUUUUAGAGGGACUUUCGGUGAUUAAUCGAAGGAAGUUGGGGGCAAUAACAGGUCUGUGAUGCCCUUAGAUGUCCUGGGCCGCACGCGCGCUACACUGACACACGCAGCGAGUUUUCCUUGUCCGAAAGGUCUGGGUAAUCUUGUAAAUGUGUGUCGUGAUAGGGAUAGAUUAUUGCAAUUAUUAAUGUUGAACGAGGAAUUCCUAGUAAAUGCGGGUCAUCAGCCCGCGUUGAAUACGUCCCUGCCCUUUGUACACACCCCCCGUGGCACCUACCGAUUGGAUGAUUCGGUGAAACUUUCCUUUCUGUUAUCAAGACGCUCUCGGGCGACUCGGUCGCGGGAAGUUAUUUAAACCUCAUCCUCUAGAAGGAAAGGGGUGCUUGUUCAAU
rnacentral:rRNA from 1 species